GGAACCCAGGCAGUAGCAUCUUUUCACAAUGUUUCCAUCACCAUCAUCAGUGGAUGCCUUUGCCGUCCGUAGCCUGAGAUUUCAGAUUUGCAGCAAAAAAAAAUUGAUUUUCUCAUUUAUUGGAAUGCUGUGCAGGUAUUUGUACCUUGCAGCCAUCCAUUACAAUGUCACCAAGCCGUAACAAAAGCAGGAGAGGGAAAGUACAAGGCUAUGUUCCCAAAACACACAAGUGACAUACCUUAUGUGGAUGAUGUAAUCAGGCUUGUGUUUGCUGAGGUAUUUGAAGAUAAGCUGAAGGAAACCCCGAUUCCAAUGGACCUGGCAUCACAGUUUGAGAGACCUUCAAAGGAGGACG